UCCUCUUUUGGGACAACUGUGUCCUGCUGCUCAGACGUCUCAGACAUUUCAGAUGUUAGGACUGCAGCAGGAAGUGAGGUGGUCUCAAACACAGGGGCGGCUGGAGCAGCCACUGGUUCCAUCUGGAUGAGAAGACACACAGGCUCUGCUGGCUUCACCUGUAACUUCCUUUGAGACUCCAGGACGACCAUGAUGGAUGCAGGAAUGUGAGCUUGCUGUUGGGCAGAAAAACAGAGGUUAAAUCCACGGGUCGUGGCCUUAAAGACUGAGCAGCGAUGUACAGUGGAGCCAUUUACCUGCAGGGGGGUGAAGGAGAGGACGUGCUGUAGAAGAGGUUCUCUCAUCUCUGGGCAACGUUCAAACACACUGUUCAGCUGGGCGGGGGGCAGCUGGAGGAGAACGCUGUAGGACUGAGGCUUGGUCCUUUGGCAGCACUUCACAAAUCCUUCCCAAACCUUUGGGUACUUCCAAACCUGUACGAGGACCAAGGACCAAGUUAGUAUCUGAUCCAGAGGACGGAGACCAGGAGAGACCCAGAGAGAGUCUAGAACACACCUGGGCAAACUACGACCCGCCAAACACUGGUACAAGAAGCCGUAGCUGGACUCUGUCCUGACCUGCUUCACUAUGAGACGAGACAGGAUGUUCAUGACGAAUCCCCCCAGUCUGGGAUACAUGGUGAGGGACUGGAUCACCGUGCGCAUCAGCAGCAUGGGGAGGGGGCUGUGGUCCAUGAGCUGCUGCAUCACCACAGCCAACACCUCGGACGUGUAAACAUUCCUUUCCCCAAAGCACAGAUUGGUGGCUGAG